GACGAACGCUGGCGGCGUGCUUAACACAUGCAAGUCGAACGGGCCCGCCCCUGUUUUUGGGGGUGGGUUGAGUGGCGAACGGGUGAGUAUCACGUGAGUAACCUGCCCCCUGCUCCUGGAUAACUGCUUGAAAGGGCGGCUAAUACGGGGUGUGCCGGCUGGUCCGCAUGGGCCUGGUCGGGAUAGUUUCAUCUUCGGGUGUUUCGGUGGGGGAUGGGCUCGCGGCGUAUCAGCUUGUUGGUGGGGGGAUGGCCCACCAAGGCGGUGACGGGUAGCCGGCGUGAGGGGGUGGGCGGACGGGAUGGGAGUGAGGCACGGGCCAGCCUCCGGCGGGAGGCGGCGGUGGGGGGUAGUGAAGAGUGGGCGGAAGCCUGAGGCAGCGACGUCGAGUGAGGAAUGGAGGCCGUCGGGUUGUGAACCUCUUUAUGCGGUGGUGAAGGCCCUGUCCGUUGCGGCGGGGUUGACGGUAGCCGGGUAUGAAGCGCCGGCUAACUACGUG
rnacentral:rRNA from 1 species